CUCUCCGCCACGGGCCGGGCGGGGUUUUGGUACUGGAGUUUCUACUAUGUAAGACCUCCUCCAGGCGGCAAAAUUCUAGUUUUCUCCUGCUUGGCUGCGGAGGACGUUAAGUAGAGACAGAGUUUUGCCAUGCUGGCCAGGUUGGUCUUGAACUCCUUGUCAGGCUUCUGGGCCCAAGCUAAGCCAUCAGAACCCCUGUGACCUGCACGUAUACAUCCUGAUGGCCCUGAGCAACUGAAGAACCAUCAAAGAAGUGAAACAGUCAGUUCCUGCCUUAACUGAUGAUGUUCCACCAUUGUGAUUUGUUCCUGCCUCACCCCAACUGAUCUCUUGACCUUGUGACAUUCUUCUCCUGGGCAAUGAGUCUCAGGAGUUCCCCACCCAGCACCUUGUGACCCCCGGCCCUGCCUGCAAAACGUAACCACCUUUAACUGUAACUUUCCAUUACCUACCUAAAUCCUGUAAAACUGCCCCACCCCUAUCUCUUUUUGCUGACUCCUUUCUCAGACUCAGCCCACUUACACCCAAGUGAAUAAACAGCCUUGUUGCUCACACAAA